rnacentral:rRNA from 1 species
UACAGAGGGGGCAAGCGUUAUUCGGAAUUAUUGGGCGUAAAGGGCGCGUAGGCGGCUUUGCAAGUGGCGGGUGAAAUCCCUCGGCUUAACCGAGGAACUGCCUGCCAGACUGUGAGGCUUGAGACCGGGAGAGGUGAGUGGAAUUCCCAGUGUAGCGGUGAAAUGCGUAGAGAUCAGGAAGAACAUCGGUGGCGAAGGCGCUCUGCUGGACCAUAACUGACACUCAGGGACGAAAGCUAGGGGAGCGAAUGGG